rnacentral:rRNA from 1 species
AUACGUAGGUGGCAAGCGUUAUCCGGAUUUAUUGGGUGUAAAGAGCUCGUAGGUGGUUUGUCGCGUCGUCUGUGAAAUUCCGGGGCUUAACUCCGGGCGUGCAGGCGAUACGGGCAUAACUUGAGCACUGUAGGGGAGCCUGGACUUCCUGGUGCAGCGGUGAAAUGCGCAGAUAUCAGGAGGACCACCGGUGGCGUAGGCGGGUCUCUGGGCAGUAACGGACGCUGAGGAGCGAAAGCAUGGGUAGCGAACAGGAUUAGAUACCCUGGUAGUCCAGGCCGUAAACGGUGGGCGCUAGGUGUAGGGGUCUUCCACGACUUCUGUGCCGUAGCUAACGCAUUAAGCGCCCCGCCUGGGGAGUACGGCCGCAAGGCUAAAACUCAAAUGAAUUGACGGGG